rnacentral:rRNA from 1 species
UACGUAGGGGGCGAGCGUUGUCUGGAUUUAUUGGGCGUAAAGAGCUCGUAGGCGGUUGGGUAAGUCGGGUGUGAAAACUCAGGGCUCAACUCUGAGACGCCACUCGAUACUGCCCUGACUCGAGUCCGGUAGGGGAGCGUGGAAUUCCCGGUGUAGCGGUGAAAUGCGCAGAUAUCGGGAGGAACACCAGUGGCGAAGGCGGCGCUCUGGGCCGGAACUGACGCUGAGGAGCGAAAGCGUGGGUAGCAAACAGG